UUAUUUUUCUAUUUCUUUCUCUCUUGCUCACGAGAUGGUGAUGGCGAAAUCAAAGACAAACGAAUUGGGAAUGGGUGAUUUUGGUGAAACUAUGUUCUAUGCUUCUCCUGGGCCGGUUUGUGAAGAGAGACGAUUUUUAAACCACCAAAAGUCCAAAACACUUGGUGGUUGUGGACAUACAAGUCUACUGAGAUAACCAAUUUUGCAACUUUUUGAGAAGAGGUUAGGGCUCAACCGGAGUAUACCGAGAUUUGAAGAUAAUGUUGGUCUGUAUAGGGGUCUUGACCAGCUCGGCUAUGCAAAAAUUUCGGUUAUGUUUGGCCACUUUAGGUCUCUUAUUAUUAGAAAGUUAAUUAAUUUCAUCAGAACAAUAAUGAUAAUAAUAUAAUUAAUAAUGUUACGUUAUAUUGAGUUCA